UUAAAUUGAAGAGUGUGAUCAUGGCUCAGAUUGAACGCUGGCGGCAGGCCUAACACAUGCAAGUCGAACGGUAACAGGAGGAAGCUUGCUUCUUUGCUGACGAGUGGCGGACGGGUGAGUAAUGUCUGGGAAACUGCCUGAUGGAGGGGGAUAACUACUGGAAACGGUAGCUAAUACCGCAUAACGCCGCAAGACCAAAGAGGGGGACCUUCGGGCC
rnacentral:rRNA from 1 species